CACGUAGGGGGCAAGCGUUGUCCGGAUUUAUUGGGCGUAAAGAGCUCGUAGGCGGUCUGUCGCGUCUGCUGUGAAAACUCAGGGCUUAACCCUGAGCUUGCAGUGGGUACGGGCAGACUAGAGUGCGGUAGGGGAGACUGGAAUUCCUGGUGUAGCGGUGAAAUGCGCAGAUAUCAGGAGGAACACCGAUGGCGAAGGCAGGUCUCUGGGCAUUAACUGACGCUGAGGAGCGAAAGCGUGGGGAGCAAACGGG
rnacentral:rRNA from 1 species